AUUGAACGCUGGCGGCAGGCCUAACACAUGCAAGUCGAGCGGAGCGGCGGACGGGUGAGUAAUGCCUAGGAAUCUGCCUGGUCGUGGGGGAUAACGUCCGGCAACGGGCGCUAAUACCGCAUACUAUCAGAUGAGCCUAGGUCGGAUUAGCUAGUUGGUGGGUUAAAGGCCUACCAAGGCGACGAUCCGUAACUGGUCUGAGAGGAUGACCGGCCACAUUGGGACUGAGCUACGGCCCAGACGACUACGCGAGGGAGCAGUGGGGGCUAUUGCACAAUGGGUGAAAGCCUGAUGCAGCGACGCCGCGUGGGGGAUGAAGGCUGUAGGGUUGUAAACCUCUGUCGCUAUCGAACGGGUAGGUGGAGAAGAAGCGCCGGCUAACUACGUGCCAGCCGCCGCGGUAAUAC
rnacentral:rRNA from 1 species